AGCAGCCGCGGUAAUUCCAGCUCCAAUAGCGUAUAUUAAAGUUGUUGCAGUUAAAAAGCUCGUAGUUGAAUUUCGGGGUCAGUAGGUUGGUCGUGCCACUGGUAUGCACUGGCCUUACUGAUUCCUCCCUCUUGUAGAACCGUAAUGCCAUUAAUUUGGUGUUGCGGGGAAACAGGACUGUUACUUUGAAAAAAUUAGAGUGUUUAAAGCAGGCUAACGCUUGAAUACAUUAGCAUGGAAUAAUGAAAUAGGACGUUCGAUCCUAUUUUGUUGGUUUCUAGGAUUGACGUAAUGAUUAAUAGGGAUAGUUGGGGGCAUUAGUAUUCAAUUGUCAGAGGUGAAAUUCUUGGAUUUAUUGAAGACUAACUACUGCGAAAGCAUUUGCCAAGGAUGUUUUCAUUAAUCAAGAACGAAAGUUAGGGGAUCGAAGACGAUCAGAUACCGUCGUAGUCUUAACCAUAAACUAUGCCGACUAGGGAUCGGAUGAUGUUAAUUUUUAAUGACUCAUUCGGCGCCUUAC
rnacentral:rRNA from 1 species